AGCAGCCGCGGUAAUUCCAGCUCCAAUAGCGUAUAUUAAAGUUGUUGCAGUUAAAAAGCUCGUAGUUGAAUUUCGGGAUUGACACAUCGGUCGUGCCUUAAGGGGUAUGAACUGGUGUAGUCAGUUUCUCACCUUCUGGAGAACCGCGAUGUCCUUAAUUGGGUGCCGCGAGGAACCAGGACCUUUACUUUGAAAAAAUUGGAGUGUUUAAAGCAGGCAUUUUGCUUGAAUACAUUAGCAUGGAAUAAUAAAAUAGGACGGAUGGUUCUAUUUUGUUGGUUUCUAGGAUCACCGUAAUGAUUAAUAGGGAUAGUUGGGGGCAUUAGUAUUCAAUUGUCAGAGGUGAAAUUCUUGGAUUUAUCGAAGACUAACUACUGCGAAAGCAUUUGCCAAGGAUGUUUUCAUUAAUCAAGAACGAAAGUUAGGGGAUCGAAGACGAUCAGAUACCGUCGUAGUCUUAACCAUAAACUAUGCCGACUAGGAAUCAGACGAUGUUAAUUUUUAAUGACUCGUUUGGCAC
rnacentral:rRNA from 1 species